CGGACUCUUCGGAGGGAGUGAGGGAUGAGCGGCGGACGGGUGAGUACACGUAAGGAACCUGCCCCAAGGAUUGGGAUAACUCCGAGAAAUCGGAGCUAAUACCGAAUAGUUCUUCAGACCGCAUGGUCUGAUGAUGAAAGGCGCUCCGGCGUCACCUUGGGAUGGCCUUGCGGUGCAUUAGCUAGUUGGUGGGGUAAUGGCCCACCAAGGCGACGAUGCAUAGCCGACCUGAGAGGGUGAUCGGCCACACUGGGACUGAGACACGGCCCAGACUCCUACGGGAGGCAGCAGUAGGGAAUCUUCCACAAUGGACGAAAGUCUGAUGGAGCAACGCCGCGUGAGUGAUGAAGGUUUUCGGAUCGUAAAACUCUGUUGUAAGGGAAGAACAAGUACGAGAGGUAAUGCUCGUACCUUGACGGUACCUUGCGAGAAAGCCACGU
rnacentral:rRNA from 1 species